AUGGCUAGCAAGUUACCACGAAGCCCGGCAAAGCAGCAGAGCUCUGGACAUCCACAGCCCUCCUGGCGCCCCGCCAGGGCCACUCUGUUUUUCAUCUGGAGAACCACGGAUUAUAGAAGUGAUGCUGACAACAAACCAAUCUUUGAUGUCUACCUGGAAGAUGCAAAAAGACAGCAGGUGGGUGAGGCACAGCGGCUCAUGCCUGGAAUCCCGCACUUUGGGAGGCUGAGGCGGGCUGAUUACCUAAGGUUGGGAGGUCAAGACCAGCCUGACCAACAUGGAGAAACCCCGUCUCCACUAAAAAUACAAAAUUAGGUGGGUGUGGAGGCGCAUGCUUGUAAUCCCAGUUACUCGGGAGGCUGAGGCAGGAAAAUCACUUGAACUUGAGAGGCGGAGGUUGCGGUGAGCUGAGGUCAUGCCAUUGCACUGCAGCCUGGGCCACAAGAGCGAAAGUCUGUCUGAAAAAUAAAUAAACAAAAAGACAGCAGGUGAUGUGGUUUGGACCUGUGUCCCCUCCGCCCAAAUCUCACCUCGAAUUGUAAUCCCCCACGUUGGAGGAGGGGCCUGGUGGGAGGGGAUUGGAUCAUGGUGGUGGUCCUUCACGAGUGGGUUAGCGCCAGUUUCUUGGUGCUGUUCUCAUGAUGGUGAGUGAGUCAUCGUGAGAUCUGGCCGUCUGAAAGUGUGCGGCACCCCCUCUUUUUCUCUCUCUCCUGCUCCCGCCAUUGAGACGCCUCACACUCCCUUCCUUCCACCAUGGCUGAAGGUUUCCCGAGGCCUCCCUAGAAGCGGAAGCCGCACUGCUUCCUGUACAGCCUGCAGAACCGUGAGCCAAUCAAACCUCUUUUCUUUAUAAAGUGCCCAGACUCAGGUAUGUCUUUUUUUUUUUUUUUUUUUUUUGAGAUGGAGUCUUGCUCUGUCACCCAGGCUGGAGAGCAGUGGCGCGAUCUCAGCUCACUGCAAGCUCCACCUCCCGGGUUCACGCCAUUUUCCUGCCUCAGCCUCCCAAAUAGCUGGGACUACAGGCGCCCGCCACCACGCCCAGCUAAUUUUUUGUAUUUUUAGUAGAGAUGGUGUUUCACUGUGUUAGCUAGGAUGGUCUUGAUCUCCUGACCUCAUGAUCCACCCGCCUCGGCCUCCCAAAGUGCUGGGAUUACACGCGUGAGCCACCACGCCCGGCCCUCAGGUAUGUCUUUACAGCAGUGUAAGAACAGACGAAUGCACCAGGUCUUCAGGACAAGCCCGAUUUUGUUGGUUACGAGAUGCAUGUUUUUCAUUCUAGCCCCCCGAGACCUGGAUACAUUGCACAGGUGUGACAGCAGGUGGCAGUGUGGAGCAGCGGUGUGACACCUGCAAGGCCCUCUGUGGACACCACACAAGGGCAGUCCCCGCGUCCCGGAGCCUGUGCAGUGUGACGGCUGUAGGUACCUCUCCAGCCAGCACUCCACCCGUGGAAUUACAGCCUACCGAAGCAUCUCUGCUGCAUUCGUCAGCUUGAUAAAUGUCCGAGAAAUGAGCCAAGACUAAGGACCAUCUCUUCCAGCAGCUUCUCACCAUCGCAGCUUCUCACCAUCGCACACACUUUGCAGCGCCGAGGGCUCUUCCUGGCCCAUAUCUAGCACCUAGAUUUUUUUUCACUUAUGUGUUGAAUAUUUCAUGGGUUCUUCUCCCCCAGAGGCCUCAGAGCACUCCCAGAAUUGGAAUGGAAAUACACAGUGUGUCCUUGUCAGCUGUCCAGGCCGCCGCGUUCAAAGGGCAGGACAUAGCAACUUCCGCUCAAAUUAGAAUGAUCUGUCUUGUCAAGCGGAAGAUGGUUGUUGGGACUUUGUGUUUUUAAAGUAUUGCCUUAAAAAGCAAGAUUAAACGAACGCAUGAACGCUUGUGCAGUAUGGCAGGAAAAUUCCGGGGGUCUGCCUGGACUGCUUGCCCCAACCCUCUCUACACGUGGGUUCUGCUGCAACAUUGAGGAGAGAGCAGGGGGUGCUCAUCUCCAGGCCAUCAGCAAAGAUGUCAGACUGUGCUUGUCCCACAGGCCUGGCCGGCAACAGCAGGGUCUCCCCCGAAUGGGGCUUGCCAGCCUCACUGCUGCAUGUGGCUCUGGGAAGGCCUGUGGGAGCCUGCUGGUCCCCAUGGCCUGGCAAGCACCUGCCCAGGUAGGCUGAAGUGCCCCCAGGCCCUGUGGCUAGAGGAAGCCUGCUGGCGCCUAGGAGAUCUGGGAGAGGAGAACUGGACAGCUCACCCACCAUGGCCAGCAUGAAAGGCAGCUAGUAAGUCCCCCUGCACUGUCAGCCUCUGCUCAGAAGUCUCUGGAGUGAUGUCCAGGUACUGAGGG
ensembl:lncRNA